GAUCAAGCGACUAAGUGCAUGUGGUGGAUGCCUUGGCGAUUACAGGCGAUGAAGGACGUGCAAGCCUGCGAAAAGCUCUGGGGAGCUGGCAACGAAGCUUUGAUCCAGAGAUGUCCGAAUGGGGAAACCCACUCCGCAAGGAGUAUCCCUGACUGAAUACAUAGGUCAGUGGAGGCGAACCCGGUGAACUGAAACAUCUAAGUAGCCGGAGGAAAAGAAAUCAACCGAGAUUCCCAAAGUAGUGGCGAGCGAAAUGGGAAUAGCCUGCAAGUGAUAGCGAAUCUGUUAGCGGAAGACUCUGGAAAGUGUCGCCGUAGUGGGUGAUAGCCCCGUACGCGAAAACAGGAUCGUGGUACUAAGUUUGCGACAAGUAGGGCGGGGCACGUGAAACCCUGUCUGAAUAUGGGGGGACCAUCCUCCAAGGCUAAAUACUCGUAAUCGACCGAUAGUGAACCAGUACCGUGAGGGAAAGGCGAAAAGAACCCCGGGAGGGGAGUGAAAUAGAUCCUGAAACCGCAUGCAUACAAA
rnacentral:rRNA from 1 species